rfam:Schistosoma mansoni strain Puerto Rico chromosome 3, complete genome
AUCCAUCUGAUGAGUUCCAAGUAGGACGAUAUGCGCAUCCUGGAU